rnacentral:lncRNA from 1 species
GCACAUGCAUAAUAUUGGCCACCGAUUGCGGAUACUCAGCAGUUACAAGGAAACCGACAUCAAUCUGCUUCUGCACUUCCUCUUUGAUCUUCACAGCCAUAUCAUGAUGCGUUCUUCUCAACUUCUGCUUGACUGGCGGGCAUUCUGGCUUCAACGACAAUCUAUGCUCCACAAUCUCAGAAUCCAAACCAGACAUGUCUUGAUAGGACCAAGCAAACACAUUUGAAUACUCUUGAAGAAGAUCAAUCAACCCUUUCUUGACAUCUGGAC